UACGAAGGGUGCAAACGUUGCUCGGAAUUAUUGGGCGUAAAGCGCACGUAGGCGGAUCUUUAAGUCAGGGGUGAAAUCCUGGAGCUCAACUCCAGAACUGCCUUUGAUACUGGGGAUCUCGAGUCCGGGAGAGGUGAGUGGAACUCCGAGUGUAGAGGUGAAAUUCGUAGAUAUUCGGAAGAACACCAGUGGCGAAGGCGGCUCACUGGCCCGGUACUGACGCUGAGGUGCGAAAGCGUGGGGAGCAAACAGG
rnacentral:rRNA from 1 species